rnacentral:precursor_RNA from 10 species
CAAUGAAGUAUUUUCUGUGAUGUCACUGUUUCGAAUGUUAUGCAGGCACGUGCACGUCAUAGAGCUAUGCACGCGUCACGUGACAUCGAACCAGUGCGUCACGCAACAACAUUGGAAACGA